GGUUCCUGCCCGCUUUCUUGGACGUUUCCUCCCUUAACUUGGCGGUGCAGCAAUGCACCGCCAUUUUUUUUGGACGCC
rnacentral:sRNA from 1 species